rnacentral:rRNA from 1 species
UGGGGAAUUUUGGACAAUGGGGGCAACCCUGACCCAGCAACGCCGCGUGAAGGAUGAAGUAUUUCGGUAUGUAAACUUCGUAAAAAUAGGAAGAAUAAAUGACGGUACUAUUUGUAAGGUCCGGCUAACUACGUGCCAGCAGCCGCGGUAAUACGUAGGGACCAAGCGUUGUUCGGAUUUACUGGGCGUAAAGGGCGCGUAGGCGGCGUGACAAGUCACUUGUGAAAUCUCCGGGCUUAACUCGGAACGGUCAAGUGAUACUGUCGUGCUAGAGUGCAGAAGGGGCAAUCGGAAUUCUUGGUGUAGCGGUGAAAUGCGUAGAUAUCAAGAGGAACACCUGAGGUGAAGACGGGUUGCUGGGCUGACACUGACGCUGAGGCGCGAAAGCUAGGGGAGCAAACGGGAUUAGAUACCCCAGUAGUCCCUGAGCGGGCUGGCAAGGCGCAU